rnacentral:rRNA from 1 species
GCAUAUCAAUAAGCGGAGGAAAAGAAAAUAACAAUGAUUUCCCUAGUAACGGCGAGUGAAGAGGAAAGAGCUCAAAGUUGGAACCUGUUUGGCCUAGCUAAACCGGAUUGUAGACUGUAGAAGUGUUUUCCAGGCAAGCCGAGUAAAUAAGUCCUUUGGAACAGGGCAUCAUAGAGGGUGAGAAUCCCGUCUUUGGCUUGAGCAUUUGCCUUUUGUGAUACGCUUUCAAAGAGUCAGGUUGUUUGGGAAUGCAGCCUAAAUUGGGUGGUAAAUCUCACCUAAAGCUAAAUAUUGGCGAGAAACCGAUAGCGAACAAGUACCGUGAGGGAAAGAUGAAAAGAACUUUGAAAAGAGAGUUAAACAGUAUGUGAAAUUGUUAAAAGGGAACCGUUUGGAGCCAGACUGGCUUGUCUGUAAUCAAUCUAGGCUUCGGCCUGGAUGCACUUGCAGGCUAUGCCUGCCAACGACAAUUUGACUUGAGGGAAAAAACUAAGGGAAAUGUGGCCCACUUGUGGGUGUUAUAGUCCCUUAGAAAAUACCUUGGGUUGGAUUGAGGAACGCAGCGAAUGCUUUUUGGCGAGUUUUCCAGGAAGGUUUUCUGAGGUACUACGGUAUCAAGGUUGAUCUUUUUGGUUAUACUUCUAUUCGCUUAGGUUGUUGGCUUAAUGACUCUAAAUGACCCGUCUUGAAACACGGACCAAGGAGUCCACCAUUAGUGCGAGUAUUUGGGUGCCAAACCCAUAUGCGUAAGGAAACUGAUUGAUACGAAUCCAUUAAGGAGGCAGUAUCGUCCGGCGCUGACGUUUUAUACUGAAUUGACCGAGACAAAGCACUAAUGAUGGGACCCGAAAGAUGGUGAACUAUGCCUGAAUAGGGUGAAGCCAGAGGAAACUCUGGUGGAGGCUCGUAGCGAUUCUGACGUGCAAAUCGAUCGUCAAAUUUGGGUAUAGGGGCGAAAGACUAAUCGAACCAUCUAGUAGCUGGUCUG